rfam:Ciona savignyi cont_31895, whole genome shotgun sequence.
AUGUGUUUUAACCGCCAAAUACAAAAAAAAAAUAGAUUAAGUGUAGUAUCUGUUCUUCUCAGGUUAGUACCCUGUGACGGAAACGAUUCGUUUCCUCUAUGUACUAAUCGGAUUUUUGAACUUGGAGUACGGGGCUGGAGCUUGCUCCACCCUGCUCAUGGGUUGUCCUGGUAUUGCAUUGCCUCCAGGUUCGGCUCACGUUUC